rnacentral:rRNA from 1 species
CAUUAUCGUAUAACAGAGAUGCCCAGGGCUGUCGCUGACCUUCACAGGUCGUGCACGCCCAAAGGUGCUCUCUUAUGUCCAUCUCACCCCUUUGUGCAUCACCGCGUGUGCCCCCCUUAUUGGGCUUGUUCCAAAGGGGGGUUCGCGUUUUAACACAGACACCAAUUUUUAAGAGCAUGUGUAGAAUGUCUUACUUUUUGCGAUUAUGCGCAAUCAAUACAACUUUCAACAACGGAUCUCUUGGCUCUCGCAUCGAUGAAGAACGCAGCGAAAUGCGAUACGUAAUGUGAAUUGCAGAAUUCAGUGAAUCAUCGAAUCUUUGAACGCACCUUGCGCCCCUUGGUAUUCCGAGAGGCACACCCGUUUGAGUGUCGUGAACACCCUCAACCUUCUUGGUUUCUUGACCAGGAAGGCUUGGACUUUGGAGGUUUUCCUUGCUGGCCUUCCUUCGAAGCCAGCUCCUCCUAAAUGAAUUAGUGGGGCUCGCUUCGCCGAUCCUUGACGUGAUAAGUAUGCUUCUACGUCUUGGGUUUUGAACGAACCCGCUUCAAACGGUCUUUGAACAAAGACGAUGUUCGAGUUGCAUCGUGUGACUCGAACACAGCGACCUUGACCUCAAAUCGGGUGAGACUACCCGCUGAACUUAAGCAUAUCAAUA